ACCCAAGGUGAUUCCCUCUCCAAGGGGCCAACUAAUGCCUCUUUCAGAAAUGUAGCAACUUGGAAGAGAAACUGACAUGCCUAAGGUCCUUGGACAGUGUGGGAUGUAUAUUUCCUUUGCCUUCCUUUGGCUGCCUACAUAA
ensembl:snoRNA